rnacentral:rRNA from 14 species
CUCUGUGGCCGUACCACUCUCAAUACACCUGUGCUUGUCUGAUCUCAGAGGCUAAGCAGGGCUGGGGCUGAUCAGUGCUUGGGUGGGAGAUAAGCCAUUCUCACCCCGGGAUAGGUAGAACUGGUCAUGAGGA